rnacentral:tRNA from 1 species
GCCAGUGUAGCUUCAAUUGGCAGAGCAACGCAUUCGUAAUGCGUAGGUUAUGAGUUCGAAUCUCAUCACUGGCU